rnacentral:rRNA from 1 species
GAUGAACGCUGGCGGCGUGCCUAAUACAUGCAAGUCGAGCGAACAGAUGAUGAUCUUGCUCCUCUUACGUUAGCGGCGGACGGGUGAGUAACACGUGGAUAACCUACCUAUAAGACUGGGAUAACUUCGGGAAACCGUAGCUAAUACCGGAUAAUAUAUUGAACCGCAUUGUUCAAUAGUUUAUUACGUUUUUGCUUUCACUUAUCGAUGGAUCCGCGCCGCAUUAUCUAUUUGGUAAGGGAACGGCUUACCAAGGAAACGAUGCGUAGCCGAACUGAGAGGGAGAUAGGCGAAACGGGAACAGAGACACGGUCGAGACACCUACGGGAGGAAGCAGAAGGGAAUAAUGCGCAAUGGGAGAAAGCCUGAAGGAGCAAGGACGAGUGAGUGAAGAAGGAGAACGGAUCGUAAAACUAUGUAAUAAGGGAAGAACAAAUGUGGAAGUAACUAAGGAAGGAUUGACGGUACCUAAGAAGAAAGGCACGGCUAACUACGUG